UACAGAGGUCCCAAGCGUUGUUCGGAUUCACUGGGCGUAAAGGGUGCGUAGGCGGUCGGGUAAGUCUGAUGUGAAAUCUCACAGCUUAACUGUGAAACUGCAUUGGAUACUAUUCGGCUUGAGAGUUGGAGGGGGGACUGGAAUUCUUGGUGUAGCAGUGAAAUGCGUAGAUAUCAAGAGGAACACCAGUGGCGGAGGCGAGUCCCUGGACAACUUCUGACGCUGAGGCACGAAAGCUAGGGGAGCAAACAGG
rnacentral:rRNA from 1 species